rfam:Cricetulus griseus cell line CHO-K1, whole genome shotgun sequence.
CCUUCGAUAGCUCAGUUGGUAGAGCGGAGGACUGUAGGUGAAUUUCCUGGGUAUCCUUAGGUCGCUGGUUCGAAUCCGGCUCGAAGGA